UCUGUUACGGGAAUAUAUGACAAUGUUUCCUACAAGCAGUGGUAGUUACCACCACUUGUGUUUUAUAUGUUGCAUGUAGUAUCUGCCGAAACAAAAAGUAUGUGUGUGUAGUAUGUAGUAUAUAUCAAUGAUUAGGUAGUAUAUAUACUAAUUUUUGGAUAGUAUGUACCAUGUUUUGAGUAUGCUCUUUUUUAUGUACAAAUAUGUAUGUAUUUCACAAAUAUAAUAAAAACUAUGGACUUAUAUGCAAUUUUUUCAUGUAACUUGCUUUGAAAUAUCUUAGAUAUAGUAUAUGAACAUAUUUUAAAUAAUAAAAUAGUAUAUAAACUACAUGGUAGUAUAUGAAAUAUGUGGGGUAACUACCACCAGAUGAUAGGAUGGAUUUUUUCUAUAUAUAUAGAGAGAGUGACACUAUUCUGAUUCUGGGAUUAGAAUAGUUAUUUGAAUCACGAUCGGCCUAUAUAGGGGCCGAACAGGUGUUCCCAAACUCCCGAAAAAACAAAAAACAAAACGGCCCAUUCCCCUGGCCACGACCUCCCCAACCUCCUGCAGCACCUCUGCCCGACCACCUCCCGCCGUCGGCCACUUAGCUCCGGCGCACCUCCCGCCACGGGCCCCUGGGCCACAGCACGCCACCCACCACUGCCACCCCCGGCCCAACGCGCCUCCCGCUGCCUUCUCCUGCCCUAACGACCCCUCCUGUUGCUGGCCUCCCCGACCCCUGCGCCCCACCCUCUGCUGGUCGCCGGAGCCGCGACAGCCACCUCCGCGCGCUGCCGGCCAUCGGGGCCACCGCUGGCGGCCACGCCCCCGUGCCACCUCAUCAUGUCGGCGCAACCCUGCGAGCUCCUGCCUCCAACCGUUGCCGGAUCCCGGCUACGCGAUUGGAUCUCAGUGCCUCGUGCCUCCAGGAGCAUGGAUCCCUUUCCAGUCGCCUGAUCCAGAUAGAGGAAGGGGAUUCCCAUGCCCCCAACGUCAGCCGCACCAUUCCUCGACGCCCACGCGGCUCAUGCUCGGCGCCCCUAUCUCCACUUCCUUCCCCUGCUCAUUGUCGCGUACGCCCGGCCGACCAACCUCGGUAGUCCCACUCCACCACACCCUCCAGCAGCCACAACGUCGUUCAGCUCCAUGUGCGGUCCUGCAGGUCCGCCUUCUACCCAUGUGUGUGGCUGCAACAAGCUGCAGUGAGCACCAUUCCUCUGCUCUCUCCUGAACUGCAGAUGCAUCAGUGUUUGGCCCAUCAAAGAAUUUUUCUGGAAGGCACUUUUGAGGGAAGUUCAGAGUGAAUGGGGAUUGAGGUUCAGAGAUGUAUUUUUCAGUAGAUUCAGAGAAGUUCUCCCCCCCUGUUUUCAUUUCUUAGCUCCUUCGUAAUUUAUUAGAUAAAAUUCUGAGACCGGCAUUCUGUUAUCUAAAGCUUAUGAUCUCUUCUGUUACUAAACAAUAGGGGCAUGUUUAUUGAUAGAAUGGAUUUGCAACAAAAGUGGGAAGCAAAUCUCAUGUUUUUAGUUGGGUCAAAUUGCAGCCUUAAUCAGCCAUUGUUUGCAGUAAUUGGCAGCUUCACAGGAAGUGGUGCACCUUUGUUCGUGACUUCCUGGUGAUGAUGUAGGUUGAAGAUGACACAGCACAACUUGGCACAAGUGACGAUGAGGACGCACCACUAGCUGCCUUCUCUAUUUCCGGUGACGACGCACCGCUGCUAUGGAUCUCCAGCAACUCAUGAACUUCUGGCGACGGUCACUUAGCCUUCCCGAGGAAAGUUCUGCCUGGAGCACCUAUUCCAGUGAGCUAAAUGCUCACCAUGCGAUGGUUGAACUGAAUCUUUUGAGAUGUCUGAAUUCCAUUGAUCUAUUCUCCCGUGGGUAGUACACUACAAUAUAUUAUGUUUUGUCCAGUUGACAAGUAGUAAAUUUUUGCAAGAAGAAAUGAGAGCAAGGAAUACUGCAAUUACAGAAGCACUUUCCCGAAUGAAUUAUUAUUUGGAGCUUGGA